rnacentral:rRNA from 1 species
GAUGAACGCUGGCGGCGUGCCUAAUACAUGCAAGUCGAGCGAACAGACGAGGAGCUUGCUCCUCUGACGUUAGCGGCGGACGGGUGAGUAACACGUGGAUAACCUACCUAUAAGACUGGGAUAACUUCGGGAAACCGGAGCUAAUACCGGAUAAUAUAUUGAACCGCAUGGUUCAAUAGUGAAAGACGGUUUUGCUGUCACUUAUAGAUGGAUCCGCGCCGCAUUAGCUAGUUGGUAAGGUAACGGCUUACCAAGGCAACUAUGCGUAGCCGACCUGAGAGGGUGAUCGGCCACACUGGAACUGAGACACGGUCCAGACUCCUACGGGAGGCAGCAGUAGGGAAUCUUCCGCAAUGGGCGAAAGCUUGACGGAGCAACGCCGCGUGAGUGAUGAAGGUCUUCGGAUCGUAAAACUCUGUUAUUAGGGAAGAACAAAUGUGUAAGUAACUAUGCACGUCUUGACGGUACCUAAUCAGAAAGCCACGGCUAACUACGUG